UACAGAGGUCUCAAGCGUUGCUCGGAAUUACUGGGCGUAAAGGGCGCGUAGGCGGUUCGCUAAGUUGGAUGUGAAAACUCUGGGCUCAACCCAGAGCCUGCAUCCAAAACUGGCGGGCUAGAGUUCUGGAGGGGGUAGCGGAAUUCCUGGUGUAGCGGUGAAAUGCGUAGAUAUCAGGAGGAACACCGGUGGCGAAGGCGGCUACCUGGACAGAAACUGACGCUGAGGCGCGAAAGCGUGGGGAGCGAACAGG
rnacentral:rRNA from 1 species